UAUCAACAUUCCUUCUCUUUUCUACUUCAUUCGUAUUGUCACUUCCUCUCUUUUCAAGAACAACUAUUGUCACAAGAAACUCAUCCACUCUACUGAUUAUUCUUCCUUGCAUCAUUUCAUAAGGUAACUAGUUAUUUCUGGUUCUAGAUGAACAUUCAACAAUAUACUUGAGUCAUACAAAAAUGUCAUAAUAAACUUUUUUCUGAAAUCACGUGGGUAUGAAUGUUUCGUCUUAUAUCUGGUUUGUGAAUAACAUUCAUCAAAUCUUGUAUUUCCAAAUAUUUAUUUUGUUUUUCUUGCAUUUCCGAUUUGAUUCCAAAUAUUUUUGUUUGAAUAUAGUUGUUUCUGGUUUAUGUUCAUGUUUUUUCAGAAGCAAUGUUUAUGUUGUUUAGUUAAUGAAAUCUUUAUGGUUUCUGGUUUUUUAAAGUUAAGGAAAUCUUUAUGUAUUUCCUAUUUUCAUGUUUUUGUUUUCAGUUCAUUCUCUAUGUCUCUUUAAAUGUUUUUAUCAGAAACCCUUUUUAUUAACUCUGCUUUCUGCUUUCGGUCCUUUGUUGUUGAGUAUUCCUUAUUAAACAUGUGAAAUAGUUAUGUUUUAGCCAUUUGAAGUUAGGUGACAAAGACCGUUAGCAAUUUCAUAUGUGACUUUUCAGAUCAACAACACACCAUGUCAAGACCACCUAUUAUGAUUUGUGAUUUGAACGUAGGUGACAAUGUUUAGAAGAUUGCCAUUCGCGUGGUUGAUCUGUGGAAUGGACAACAACAUGUUGAAUGUCUUAUCCAAGAUUCAAAGGUAUCCAUUCAUGUUGGCAUUAUGUUCUUGAAAUCUCUAUCAACUUAAUAUUCAUCUUAUGUAUUCUUUUUCAUUUAUAGGGGGACAAAAUCCAUGUCGUCACCCGGAACCGAGACUUUGAAAUAUGGAAUCAAACCUU
rnacentral:lncRNA from 1 species